rnacentral:rRNA from 1 species
GUAAAUACCUUAACGAGGAACAAUUGGAGGGCAAGUCUGGUGCCAGCAGCCGCGGUAAUUCCAGCUCCAAAAGCGUAUAUUAAAGUUGUUGCAGUUAAAAAGCUCGUAGUUGAACCUUGGGCUUGGUUGGCCGGUCCAUCUUUUUGGAUGCGUACUGGACCCAACCGAGCCUUUCCUUCUGGCUAGCCUUUUGGCGAACCAGGACUUUUACUUUGAAAAAAUUAGAGUGUUCAAAGCAGGCCUUUGCUCGAAUAUAUUAGCAUGGAAUAAUAGAAUAGGACGUUAUGGUUCUAUUUUGUUGGUUUCUAGGACCAUCGUAAUGAUUA